AGUGAACGCUGGCGGUAGGCCUAACACAUGCAAGUCGAACGGCAGCACAGUAAGAGCUUGCUCUUACGGGUGGCGAGUGGCGGACGGGUGAGGAAUACAUCGGAAUCUACUUUUUCGUGGGGGAUAACGUAGGGAAACUUACGCUAAUACCGCAUACGACCUACAGGUGAAAGCAGGGGAUCUUCGGACCUUGCGCGAUUGAAUGAGCCGAUGUCGGAUUAGCUAGUUGGCGGGGUAAAGGCCCACCAAGGCGACGAUCCGUAGCUGGUCUGAGAUGAUGAUCAGCCACACUGGAACUGAGACACGGUCCAGACUCCUACGGGAGGCAGCAGUGGGGAAUAUUGGACAAUGGGCGCAAGCCUGAUCCAGCCAUACCGCGUGGGUGAAGAAGGCCUUCGGGUUGUAAAGCCCUUUUGUUGGGAAAGAAAAGCAGCAGGUUAAUACCCCGCUGUUCUGACGGUACCCAAAGAAUAAGCACCGGCUAACUUCGUG
rnacentral:rRNA from 1 species